rnacentral:rRNA from 1 species
UACGAAGGGGGCUAGCGUUGCUCGGAAUCACUGGGCGUAAAGGGUGCGUAGGCGGGUCUUUAAGUCAGGGGUGAAAUCCUGGAGCUCAACUCCAGAACUGCCUUUGAUACUGAGGAUCUUGAGUACGGGAGAGGUGAGUGGAACUACGAGUGUAGAGGUGAAAUUCGUAGAUAUUCGCAAGAACACCAGUGGCGAAGGCGGCUCACUGGCCCGUAACUGACGCUGAGGCACGAAAGCGUGGGGAGCAAACAGG